UACGUAGGGUGCGAGCGUUAAUCGGAAUUACUGGGCGUAAAGCGUGCGCAGGCGGUGAUGUAAGACCGAUGUGAAAUCCCCGGGCUUAACCUGGGAACUGCAUUGGUGACUGCAUUGCUGGAGUAUGGCAGAGGGGGGUGGAAUUCCACGUGUAGCAGUGAAAUGCGUAGAGAUGUGGAGGAACACCGAUGGCGAAGGCAGCCCCUGGGCCAAUACUGACGCUCAUGCACGAAAGCGUGGGGAGCAAACAGG
rnacentral:rRNA from 1 species